rnacentral:rRNA from 1 species
UACGUAGGGGGCAAGCGUUGUCCGGAUUUAUUGGGCGUAAAGAGCGUGUAGGCGGCCUGAAAGGUCAGCUGUGAAAACUCGAGGCUCAACCUCGAGACGUCGGUUGAAACCAUCUGGCUAGAGUCCGGAAGAGGAGUGUGGAAUUCCCGGUGUAGCGGUGAAAUGCGCAGAUAUCGGGAAGAACACCCGUGGCGAAGGCAGCUCACUGGGACGUUACUGACGCUGAGACGCGAAAGCGUGGGGAGCAAACAGG